rnacentral:sRNA from 1 species
UUGAUCAUGUAGGUCAUACUUACGGACCUCACAACGUUCAU